GAAAUGAAUAAAACAGGUGCUCAACCCAAGCAAAGACGUCCAACUGGGACACUUCAGAAUGGAAAAGCUGC